AUUGAACGCUAGCGGGAUGCUUUACACAUGCAAGUCGAACGAGUGGCGGACGGGUGAGUAAUAUAUUGGAACGUGCCUAGUAGAGGGGGAUAACUACUCGAAAGCGUGGCUAAUACCGCAUACUCUUGGAUCGGCCGAGAUCGGAUUAGCUAGUUGGUGGGGUAAAGGCUCACCAAGGCAACGAUCCGUAGCUGGUUUGAGAGGAAGACCAGCCACACGGGUACUGAGACACGGCCCAGACUCCUACGGGAGGCAGCAGUGGGGAAUUUUGGACAAUGGGGGAAAGCCUGAUCCAGCCAUGCCGCGUGGAUGAGAAGGCCUUCGGGUUGUAAAGUACUUUUGGCAGAGAAGCGGUAUCUGCAGAAUAAGCACCGGCUAACUACGUGCCAGCAGCCGCGGUAAUUC
rnacentral:rRNA from 1 species